AUUGAACGCUGGCGGCAUGCUUUACACAUGCAAGUCGAACGGCAGCGCGGGCUUCGGCCUGGCGUCGAGUGGCGAACGGGUGAGUAAUGCAUCGGAACGUGCCCAGUAGUGGGGGAUAGCCCGGCGAAAGCCGGAUUAAUACCGCAUACGACCUGAGGGUGAAAGCGGGGGACCGAAAGACCUCACGCUAUUGGAUCGGCCGAUGUCGGAUUAGCUAGUUGGUGGGGUAAAGGCUUACCAAGGCGACGAUCCGUAGCUGGUCUGAGAGGACGACCAGCCACACUGGGACUGAGACACGGCCCAGACUCCUACGGGAGGCAGCAGUGGGGAAUUUUGGACAAUGGGGGCAACCCUGAUCCAGCCAUGCCGCGUGCGGGAAGAAGGCCUUCGGGUUGUAAACCGCUUUUGUUCGGGAAGAAAGCCUCUGGGCUAAUACCCCGGGGGGAUGACGGUACCGGAAGAAUAAGCACCGGCUAACUACGUG
rnacentral:rRNA from 1 species